rnacentral:rRNA from 1 species
UACGAAGGGGGCUAGCGUUGCUCGGAAUCACUGGGCGUAAAGCGCACGUAGGCGGACUCUUAAGUCAGGGGUGAAAUCCUGGAGCUCAACUCCAGAACUGCCUUUGAUACUGGGAGCCUUGAGUUCGGGAGAGGUGAGUGGAACUGCGAGUGUAGGGGUGAAAUUCGUAGAUAUUCGCAAGAACACCAGUAGCGAAGGCGGCACUCUGGGCCGGUACUGACACUGAGGAGCGAAAGCGUGGGGAGCAAACAGG